rnacentral:rRNA from 1 species
CUUCGGGGAGUGCGGUGACAGGUGCUGCAUGGCUGUCGUCAGCUCGUGCCGUGAGGUGUUCGGUUAAGUCCGGCAACGAGCGCAACCCCUGUUCUUAGUUGCUACCACGUGAUGGUGGGCACUCUAGGAAGACUGCCGGCGCAAAGCCGGAGGAAGGUGGGGACGACGUCAAGUCCUCAUGGCCCUUAUGCCCAGGGCUACACACGUGCUACAAUGGUCGGUACAGAGGGGAGCGACGCCGCGAGGUGGAGCCAAUCCUCAAAGCCGGCCUCAGUUCGGAUUGCAGUCUGCAACUCGACUGCAUGAAGGCGGAAUCGCUAGUAAUCGCGGAUCAGAACGCCGCGGUGAAUACGUUCCCGGGCCUUGUACACACCGCCCGUCACA